rnacentral:rRNA from 1 species
CCUACGGGUGGCAGCAGUGAGGAAUAUUGGUCAAUGGACGUAAGCCUGAACCAGCCAAGUCGCGUGAAGGAUGACUGCCCUAUGGGUUGUAAACUUCUUUUAUAAGGGAAUAAACCGCGGCACGUGUGCCUUUUUGCAUGUACUUUAUGAAUAAGGAUCGGCUAACUCCGUGCCAGCAGCCGCGGUAAUACGGAGGAUCCGAGCGUUAUCCGGAUUUAUUGGGUUUAAAGGGAGCGUAGAUGGGGUGUUAAGUCAGUUGUGAAAGUUUGCGGCUCAACCGUAAAAUUGCAAUUGAUACUGGCAGGCUGGAGUACAGUUGAGGUAGGCGGAAUGCGUGGUGUAGCGGUGAAAUGCUUAGAUAUCACGCAGAACCCCGAUUGCGAAGGCAGCUUACUAAACUGUGACUGACACUGAUGCACGAAAGCGUGGGGAUCAAACAGGAUUAGAUACCCCGGUAGUC